rnacentral:rRNA from 1 species
AUGGUGUCAGGAAUGCUCUGGAGGUUCCUCCUGAUGCCGGUGGGGAAGCAGCAAGGAGAGACUAGGGCGGCAUUCCGCGACAAGGAAUUCAUCUCCGAGACUGAUGUCCGGGUGAGCGGCAGUUACAUCAAUUACCUCGGCUUGGUGAUCAAGGAGACAUUCAGGCCAUACCCAUCAACUCCCAUCCUGGUCCCUCGAGAGAGUACUGAGGCAUGGGAGCUCAAUGGGUACGUGAUGCCAGCUAAGACAAGGGUGAGCAUAAAAUCUUGGGCUGUCGGGUGUUACCCCUAG